rnacentral:rRNA from 1 species
AAUCCAUAGGUUAAUGAGGCGAACCGGGGGAACUGAAACAUCUAAGUACCCCGAGGAAAAGAAAUCAACCGAGAUUCCCCCAGUAGCGGCGAGCGAACGGGGAGGAGCCCAGAGCCUGAAUCAGCAUGUGUGUUAGUGGAAGCGUCUGGAAAGGCGCGCGAUACAGGGUGACAGCCCCGUACACAAAAGCGCAUGUGCUGUGAGCUCGAUGAGUAGGGCGGGACACGUGGUAUCCUGUCUGAAUAUGGGGGGACCAUCCUCCAAGGCUAAAUACUCCUGACUGACCGAUAGUGAACCAGUACCGUGAGGGAAAGGCGAAAAGAACCCCGGCGAGGGGAGUGAAAAAGAACCUGAAACCGUGUACGUACAAGCAGUGGGAGCACAGGUUUACCUGUGUGACUGCGUACCUUUUGUAUAAUGGGUCAGCGACUUAUAUUCUGUAGCAAGGUUAACCGAAUAGGGGAGCCGGAGGGAAACCGAGUCUUAAUUGGGCGUUAAGUUGCAGGGUAUAGACCCGAAACCCGGUGAUCUAGCCAUGGGCAGGUUGAAGGUUGGGUAACACUAACUGGAGGACCGAACCGACUAAUGUUGAAAAAUUAGCGGAUGACCUGUGGCUGGGGGUGAAAGGCCAAUCAAACCGGGAGAUAGCUGGUUCUCCCCGAAAGCUAUUUAGGUAGCGCCUCGUGAAUUCAUCUCCGGGGGUAGAGCACUGU